rnacentral:rRNA from 1 species
ACGGAAGGCAGCAGUGGGGGAUAUUGCACAAUGGAGGAAACUCUGAUGCAGCAACGCCGCGUGAGGGAAUAAGGUCUUCGGAUUGUAAACCUCUGUUUUUAGUGAAGAAAGAAAUGACGGUAGCUAAAGAGGAAGCCACGGCUAACUACGUGCCAGCAGCCUCUGUAAUACGUAGGUGGCAAGCGUUGUCCGGAUUUCCUGGGUGUAAAGGGUGCGCAGGCGGGACUGCAAGUUGGAUGUGAAAUACCGGAGCUUAACUCCGGGGCUGCAUCCAAAACUGUGGUUCAUGAGUGGAGUAGAGGUAAGCGGAAUUCCGAGUGUGGCGGUGAAAUGCGUAGAUAUUCGGAGGAACACCAGUGGCGAAGGCGGCUUACUGGGCUCUAACUGACGCUGAGGCACGAAAGUGUGGGUAGCAAACAGGAUUAGAUACCCUGGUA